UCUGGAGGUGGGACAGUCGCUCCGAUGAUAUAUCGGAGAGGAAAGUCCAGGCAGCAGAAGGCAGGGUGCCCCGAUGUAAAUCGGGGACGGGUACCCUUCGGCAAGCUCAGGGUAGCCUGAGUGCAAUCGAAGGCCAACCGCUAGUUUAGAGCAACAGAGACGAGUCUUGCACGAGCUUAAAGCUCGAGCGAGGGUGAAACGGGCAAUCCUCCCCGCUGCAACCCACGAAGUGGACGUUUGAGGUAGCCUUCCCGAGUCCUAAAGUGGGGCAUUAGACAGAUGACUGUCGAGAAACAGAACCUGGCUUACCAGCCUCCAGAGUUU
rnacentral:RNase_P_RNA from 4 species